UCUCUCUCUCUCUCUCUCUCUCUCUCUCUCUCUAGUCUCUUCAGUAAACCUUGCUACUGCAUUACAGGCUGGAGCUAGUAGAAGCCAUCCUGGACCUGGUUUUGAAGGCAACCUAUGUGUGGAGGUGGAUCUGAGAGAACCCUCUUUGUUCAAAAUGGUCAACAUCUCAGAGGGAGAACUGGCUCAAGGAGGUGGUCCACUGAAGCACAUUAUUCUCUAAGACACAACAACAAGAUAUCAUCUUGGAAGCAGAGAUGAAGCUUCACCUCCUGGAGCUUUGUUUAUGAACUACUAGCCCCUGGA